rnacentral:tRNA from 1 species
GAGUCUAUAGCUCAAGUAGGUUAGAGCAUGUGCCUGAUAAGUGCAAGGUUGGUUGUUCGAAUCAACUUAGACUCA